UUUAGGCGGGAUCACCAAUUCCCAUCCUUUUUCCCCUUCUCUUUCCAUCUUCUCACAAUCAAAAUCCCUAAAUCUCAGCCGACAUCACAUUGGCGAUUUCUACUAUGGCGCUUUCAUGUGUAGAUAUCAUCCAAUUUCCCCUGAAUCCACGCCUCUCACCCUUUACUCUCAUCCCCUAAAACACAAACCCUAAAACUCUUCAUGUUCCAUCACAAUUCGCAAGCAAGCAGAUUUGUUUAUGUAUUGCGUGAUGAUGAUGAAGGUUGAUGAUUUGAUUUGUAUUCUGUUGCCUUGGCAAGUUGAAAUAGGUAUUCACAGGCAAGGAUUCCUAUCGUGAAGGGGGAACCAAUAGAAAGGCUUGGGAAAUUGAAUACAACUAUUAUAUAUUGGAUGUUUGAUGGCUUGACAAGUUCUUAUUUACAGCCACCACUACUACCGAUUAUCUGUAAUUUCCGAAAUGGCUUCGUAUGAUCUCCAAAUUAGGGUUUGGGGGCGUUGAUGCACAAAGAAGAUGUUACCAAGGCCAUGGAUUUCUGGGGACGAUCCUCUUGAAUCAUUUGACUGAUUCUAUAUGUGAAUUAUUUCUAUCCAACUUUUUAUUUAUGGUUUGUUAAAAAUCAUCAUGUUCUCCGCUGCAGAGCGCAAGUCCUCUCGGCUCUGGAAAUUCAGAAAAUAGCGACCAUUGGGAGGCUGGUAUGAGAAAAUGGAUGAAUAGGUUAUAACAGUUUAUAGUCUAAUAUGUAAAAAUGGCUAGAGAGAUGCAGCUUCUGAUCAAGUCUUUUCAGAGAGAAUCAUAUUUAUCAUAUGGUAAUGAACCGUUAAUCAAAGUCAAGAGAAAUAGGUAGGUGUCGAAGGAGUUGUUGCUUGCAACAUUGAGUAUCAUGUUGAUGAGCAUGGUUUGUUACUUCGUUUGGUAGGGCUUGCAGUAAUUAAGCAAUCGUUAGUAGUAACAAUCAUUAUAACGGCACCACUAGAUGCAAAGAGAAAAAAAUUGCUUCAUAUGUACCUCCAAGUCAUACAUUUUCAACGGACACAAGAUAUGCCUAGAAAGACACCAAAUGAACACCAAAUAAAAUGUUGUGGGACACAAGAAUAUGCCGCACAGUAGCAAAUGGUAAAGGGAGACCAGAGACCACACCAAUGGAUCAUGGCUUAGUAGAUUUUCUAGAGAUGCUGGGCAAUGCCCGUGUAUGCUUCAGAAAGUGGUGCCAACAUAAGGGUUAAACUCGUAUGGAUUAACGCUAGGUGUCCACGUCAACCAGGAGGUACUGAAUGCGGCUAUUAUGUGAUGAAGUUCAUGAAGGAGAUAGCUUACAAAGGAGUUGAAAUACUUGACAAUGAUAAUGUUGGGAAAUGAGUAGAGGAAUACUCGGCUGCGGAUAUGGAUGGCAUUCGUGAAGAUUGGUCAAAUUAUGUGGUUAACUCUAUUUUUAAGUUAUAAAUCGUAUUUUAGGUGUUGAUGAUGUAUUGACAAACAAUUCUUUUUUUGUUAACGUUAAAAUAUUUGUAGUAUACUUGACAAA